GGAGCAGGCGCACCGUCCGGGGAGACGGGGAGAGGUGGCGGGCUGCGGAGGCGCGGAGGCGCUGCCAGGGCCGAUCUGGUUCCCUGGGAAGCAGACUCUGGAUGGAGGUUUACCUACGGAAAAGUUAUUGGGGAUGGGGCAGAGGACAAAGGUGUUUCAGUUUGCAGCACCUACUCUGGAGUUGGAGGCCAGUUCAAAGGUGCAAGGCAACUGAAAGACUGAACUAAGGUCACUGGCCAAAUGUAUUUUGCAACAAGCAUAGAGUGGAAUACUGCGCAGCUGUGCAAAGGAUGAGGACACUCCUUGUGUGCUGAUACAGAGGAAUCUCAAAGACAUAUUGUUCAGUGGAGAAUACAGAAGGGUAUCCGUAAUAUGCUGUGAAUUUAGGCAUAAAGGAGGGGAGCUUUGUGUUGGUAUUCACUCGUAUAUGAAUAAAAACAACCUCCGGAACACUAUACAAGGAGCUAAUGAGAAUGGUCAUUUAUUGGGGGAAAAUGGGAAUUGACUGGAUGAGGGGGACA